rnacentral:rRNA from 1 species
AUUGAACGCUGGCGGAAUGCUUUACGCAUGCAAGUCGAACGGCAGCACGGGAGCUUGCUCCUGGUGGCGAGUGGCGAACGGGUGAGUAAUGCGUCGGAACGUGCCGAGUAAUGGGGGAUAACGCAGCGAAAGUUGUGCUAAUACCGCAUAUGCCCUGAGGGGGAAAGUGGGGGAUCGCAAGACCUCACGUUAUUCGAGCGGCCGACGUCUGAUUAGCUAGUUGGUGGGGUAAAGGCCUACCAAGGCGACGAUCAGUAGCGGGUCUGAGAGGAUGAUCCGCCACACUGGGACUGAGACACGGCCCAGACUCCUACGGGAGGCAGCGGUGGGGAAUUUUGGACAAUGGGGGCAACCCUGAUCCAGCCAUUCCGCGUGAGUGAAGAAGGCCUCGGUUGUAAGUACGUCUUUCUAGCUGGAGUGAAACGGUAGACGCGUCUAACACUAAGCGCGCGUAACUGACGGUACC